rnacentral:lncRNA from 1 species
GCCACCUCAGUCUUUUCAGUAAUUCUCAGGAUAUGGAAGAGAAUCAUGACCCUCUUUUCACCCAGCGAUAUCAGGAAAAAACAACAAACCAUCUAUGCUCACUAUAUAAAUGUAAGGCAGUAAAGAAACUGAUUUAUGCACGAUUUUUGGAAAUACUGAGGCUUUACAAAGUGAAACACAUCGGCAAAGCCUCUAUUUUCCUUGAUAGAAAUCAAACACCUAUCCAAGAGAGUACAUCUAACAUAGAAAAAUUCAGAAAGUGGCAACCACAGGGUGAUUCCAAAAUGCUUGUGCAGACGGCCUUCAGGGUGGUAGAAAUGCUAAUGCUGGCAUUUUCGAUUUGGCGCAUUAUGGGGAAGCCUGAAUAUGAGUUUUAA